UUUGGGCUUGAAGUUGUUGUAAACAUUCCCUCAAGAAUCUUAGUAGCUUUCUGGUUGUCUUUCUGAACCUGCUGUAUGGUUGCUGUAUGGUUCUUGUGCAUGGUCUCUUGUUGGACUAACUGAAGCGCCUUGACUUCUUUACUCAUUGCCUCAUUUCCAGGUUAAAGGGAUGGUUCACCACAAAAUCAAACUUUGUCAGAUGUUUUCAAAUUUUGUUUUCUAGUCUUCCCGGUUCUGACCUUUCUGUCUGUCCUGACCCUGAGCCCGCCUGCUGUUCUGUCCCUGAUUGACUCUGCCUUGGAUUACGAACCUCUGCCUGCUCUCGACCUGACCUUUGCCUGCCCCUUUGUUAGAAUAAUUCUCUGAAUAUUUAUUAUAUCUGCCUCCUGUGUCUGCAUCUAGGUCAUAUGCCUGAGUCGUGAUAGUACGAACUGGCCAUGACUGACCGAGCAGACCAGCUCUACAACACUGUCUCCUCACAAGGACCACCAUUGGAAGACACAAGUAGUUACUACAUAACCUUACGGAAUGAUUCCAUACCCUGGCAGAACACCAUGCCAAGUCAGUGCAUUGUUGGAACAUUUCCGCGGACUAUUAGGCAGCCAGCCUGUCCUCCGGAUUUCAUCCUCAAUCUAACGGCCAGUCGGACCCCAGCUCCCCGCUAUCGUCUCAUGCAGAGGGUAUGGCUCUCCACUCGGGGUCUGCCCCUCCGGGUGGAGUCCCGUAAACUUUCCGCCUGCUUUAUCGGCCCUUUCCACAUCUCCCACUGCUGUUUGUCUUCUGUCGCCCCACACCCUCCAUAUACAUCCCACUUUCCAUGUGUCGAGGAUUAAACCUCUGUCUCACA